GACGAUGAGGGGCAUCCCGGGCUUAAAGCGGCUGCGGCUCAAAAUCUGGCGGCGAUGCGCCCUGCUGCUGCUCCUCCUCUGGGCUGCCUGCUGGGUGGUGGUGAGCGCCGCGCUGUUCCUCCUCCACAGGAGCGUCUUCUCCGAGCGCUGCACGGACGAGAAAAGCCACCGGAUCCUGGCCAGGCUGUGUCUUGACUACAGCAGCGGAGCCCUGACUGGAGACCUCUGCGAAGACCUGUGCGUGGCACAGAAGCUGGUGUACAAACACUGCCUUUACUAUGACAGAGGUAAGAAGGUCAUUCAGGCCGAUUGGAGAGGCCAGCCCAUCAUACUGAAAUCCAAAAAAGAAGUCUUUUCCAGCUACCAACACCUCAGUAUGCUGGAGGAGGUGGAAACGCAGGACAUACCUGAAGCAGAGCUUCUGCUGAUGGUGGCUUUGGAGGUCAAAAAUGCCCUGGGGCUAGAACUGUCUAACAGCACCAUGGGGCCCCUGUGGACAAGGAAAAAGGGACCACAUUGGAAAGCACAGGUGGCCAGCAUGUGGUCCUUGCUCCAGCAGGAAGAAUAUAUCUACUUCAGUUUGCUGCAGGACUUCAGCAAACACGUGCUACGAAUUAUUGGCUCUUGUGGACACUUUUACGCUGUGGAGUACCUCACAGCUGGACAUGCCUGGCACAAAACUCUUUUUCCCUUGGAAAACAUGAUUGGUCCCUCCCUUACCGGACACAAAAGCAGGGUAAGAGCCAUCACUGACAUUGCACUCAGCUUUCUGGACAUGGUGCAGCAUUUUGAUAAUGAUUUCUCUCACCGACUUCACCUGUGUGACAUUAAACCCGAAAACUUCGCUAUCAGGCAUGAUCUUACGGUGGUGGCCAUUGAUGUGGAUAUGGCCUUUUUUGAACCCAAAAUGAGGGACAUCCUUGAACAGAAUUGCACAGGAGAUGAAGAUUGUAAUUUUUUUGAUUGCUUUUCAAAAUGCAAUCUGAAAAUCAGAAAAUGUGGAGCACAGAGAGCCAAUAACAACUUGCAAGUAAUUUGUGACAAAAUAUUCCGUCACUGGUUUUCCCCAAAUCUCAGAGGACCGUUGGUUUCCCUCCCCCUGCAGCUGCAGCUGCAGAAAGCUGUGCAGGAGUGUGCUCAGCCAGGGCACGUGGACGCCGUGGGGCACCAGAGGACUCUGAAAUCUCUCUCCGAGUUAUACCACCUGCUUCAGGUCACUCAACGAGAACUGCAAAGGGCAGAGUAGACACAAAAGGCAGGACUGCAAAGGCCACAUGCCAGCCUCUCUGCCAUCCCUCCUACCCACUGUACAUUUACAGCACAGAGAUUGCUUUUCUGCUAUGCAAAUGAAAUUCAUGGCUGCAGGUGCAGUACAUCCUGUUAAUAUCCUAUCAAGUGUGAAAUUGUUUUACAUUACCUGGAUUCUGUUCUUGAUUAUUUUCCUGAGCUAGCACUAUCCCUCUCCAUCAGAAUUCAGCACACUGUUCGCUUACCAAGAGCUGUAGACACUGCAUCUGUCUGAGAGUGGUGCUCAGAGUGAGGAUGCAUUUACAGAAGAAAAGUCUGGCGGUGGAGAAUCUGACACGCAGGUUCAGAAGACACUGCAUGUGCUUCAGCCCAGUACUGGGCAAUGUACCCAUGAGCUGCAUGAGGACAUUAAAACCCCCACAAACAGAAAACCCAGCUGCCUAUGACAUCCCUUGGCUCAGAGGGACUCUUCAAUGUUAAGACUGACAAUACGGGUUUUUGGAUGUGAGACACGUAACAACAUUUAAUCUGUUUCAUCUUUAUAUCCCUCAGCCUUAUGACAGCCGUGAAGCCUGUGAGAACUAAUUAUAUAUAAGCUUUCUGUUUCUGGAGUGGUUCUUUAAAGUGAUGUUAAAGACUGCCUCUGACCAGAAAAAUGGGAGCUGCUUAGGAGACCUUGACCUGUUAAAGACUAGCUCAAAUUUUCAGACUAGUGCCAGGUCUAUUUUAUAUUUCUUGCAAUAAACUGCCAUAUUUUUAAAAAUCGUGCAAGUCCUUAAGAAGCUCAUAGCAAGAGCAGGGUCAGCUGCCUUGCCUGGGGCUGGACAGGUAAGCUUAGGAGCUCCUGACUGGUAAAGCUGUGCUCAGUCCACACUUCUCCUCUAACCAGGCAGAGAAUGUUUCAAUACUUUAAGAUCAUCCUUUGCAAAAGCCGGAAGGCAAAGCAGAAUAAGAAGAAACGUGAACUCCAGAACUAGCCCUGUUACAAAACCACAAAAUUGAUAGAGAAGAUAAUUAAGAUAAAUUAAAUAAAUUAUGGUAAAGGGUUGGGGACAGAUCAAGUAUCAGGUAGACAGAAGAUAAAGAUGUGAAGGAGAAAUAGAAAAAAAAAGUAAAAAAUAUAGGCCUCUUUGUGAAAACAUGAUUUAUGAUGCACGAUUGAAUAAAGGAGCAUUCGGUCUGAGGAAGAAGAGACUGAAGAUAAGUACAGUAACUCUCUUCACAAACAGAAAGAGAAUGAUAAAAAGAGAAUAGGAGAGAACUCUCCUGUCCAGAUUUCCUUGGUGGAUGUGACCAGCAAUGAGCUUAAAUUGUAGCAAGUUAAAAAAUCAGGUUAGACAUUUGUUACAGGCUUUCUGAUAGGAGGGAAGAGUGAAGAUAUGGCACAGAUCAUCUGGGAAAACUUCAGACUUCACAAGUCGUGAUUUCUAACUAUAAGCAAGAGCAAGUGCCUGUAAGGAAUUAUGUACAUGCAGUUAUGCUGAUGAUGCUGCCUCGAGCUAACCUUUUAUCUCCCAGUCCUGUCAUAAUGUUACUAUCAGGUUAUGUUUGUGUUCUUGUGACUCCCUCACAACAAAAUCCCCACUUGUGAGACACAAGGAUACAGAAGUCUCCUUUAUCUUAUACGUGCAAAUCCAUGGGGUCCCCUUGGGAGGGGAAGGCACAGAGAUCUCAAACUGUGCAAAUGAUGCUACAGAGCCUACUGGUGUGAUCGAGGUGUUAUGCUCCACCAUGGCAGGGCUCUCCCUCCCAUUUUCAUGUUCGUAUUUGAGACGGGAUAAAUUUCUAUUGGAUGAGAGGUUACACUUUUAAAACAGGUGGAAAAAAUGCUGUGAAAUAUCAGCUGCUGGCAGUCAAGUGCUGGUGGAAUGUCACUCUCCUCGGAAUGUCCUUCUCUUUGGCAGGAGUUAGGAAGGGAAGUUGCCUUUGACAGAUUUCUCUAACCCCCUCAGGGCCUGGCUGCACCCAUCUCCACCUGGCAGGGACAUCCUUCCCACACACCAGACUUUCCCAGGACAUUAGGUUUCACUUCUUUUCAGGAUACAGAGAAUAAUCCUCAAAAACCUCCCAAGAGCAACACAAAUGGGUUAUUUAUACUUGGGCUGGGCUAUGAGAUUGCAUAUCACUGAUGCAGCCAGCUCUGGCUGGCUUUGGGAUACACCUUGACCAGUGAGUGGAAGAAUAAGGAGAAUCUGACAGGCUGUGUGGGCUUUGUUCUUCACUGCCUGUCCUGCACUUCGUAAAGUCACUAAAUCCUGGGAAAAGGAAGAGAGAAAUACUACCAGUGAAGCAAAUGAAACAUUACAACUUAAUUAGCACAGGUCCCAGUGACCAAAACAGGAAUAAAACAGUAGUUGUGCCUCUGUCUCCCUGGGGCAGAAAGAGAAGAAAAUUAAGACACUGGUUUAGUUGCCAUCUACCUUAAGGAGGAAAGUGCAAAAACUGCUGUCAUUGGAGCCUGUAUGGUUUUACAACCAGG